rnacentral:lncRNA from 1 species
GCGGCAGAGGUUUCAGCAACACCAGUGGCCUACAAAGAAGGAGCCUUCCUCCUCUCCCCAGACUCCAGACUCUAGAGGGCGACCUCCUCCUGCUCCUGCUCCUGGAGCGCAGCCAGCGCACAGCGUUUCCGCAGGAAUCUUGAGAAUGGCAAGGCCCGCACACCCGCGGUGGUUCCCAGGCCCGCCCCCUCUCGCAGCUGCAGCCCCACCUGCCAGUGCGUGCCGCCUCCGAGCGACUUCCGGGAGCCGGGCGGCCACCGCGGUGCAGGCGCGCGCCCAAAGGCUUUGCGAGGCUCACUCGGUCUGAGAGGUCGGAGGCUGCGAGUGUCGCUGCUGAAGGCUGUGGUGGACCGGGCUGGAUCGCGGAUUUUGGAUUAGAUAAUAGAUUUGGGAUCGCCGAUUGGGGGUUGGAUUGCGGAUUUGGGGUUGGAUAGGGGAUUUGGGGCUGGGUCGGCGGGGGCAGGGGCGGGGAGGUGAAAAGGUGACAGGGAGCUGCCUCCUCUCAAGAGCAGUUGGUUGGGAGUCUGAGAAGUCACCACCAUGAAGUUGUUCGGCUUCAGGAGCCACAGGGGCCAGACGGUCCUGGGCACCAUAGACCACCUGUACACGGGUUCCGGGUACCGAAUCCGGUACUCGGAACUGCAGAAGAUCCACAAGGCAGCUGUCAAGGGCGACGCCGCGGAGAUGGAGCGCUGUCUGGCGCGCAGGAGCGGAGACCUGGACGCCCUGGACAAGCAGCACAGAGUCUCACUUCUUUGCCCAGGCUGGUGUCCAAUGGCACAAUCUUGGCUCACUGCAACCGCUGCCUCCCGGGUUCAAGCAAUUCUCCUCGCUCAGCCUCCCAAGUAGCUGGGGUUACAGGCAGGUGCCAGCAUGCCUGGCUAAUUUUUCUAUUUUUAGUAGAGAGGGGUUUCACCAUGUUGGCCAGGCUGGUCUUGAACUCCUGAGCUCAAGUGAUCUGCCUGCCUCGGCUUCCCAAAGUGCUUGGAUUACAGGCAUGAGCUACCGUCCCCAGCCUAUAUUGUUUAUUAUAUAUCAUAUGAUAUAUAUAUUGCUGAUACAUAUACCAUAUAUAUUAUUACAGAUAUAAUCUGUUAUAUAUAUAUCAGUUAUAUAUACACAUUAGAUGAAAAGUUGUAUGUAUAUAUACACAUUAGAUGAAAAGUACAUUUUCAUUUUACAGGGAAUUCUUUCAAAUCUAAUCAUCAAAAACUUUAAAAUUGGGCAAAGUACUUUUUUCCAGAUCUGCAAGUUAUUUGUGUACAUAGCAAAAAGUCCUUCGCAUUUCUGGUAUAAGAAUUUAAAUUAAAAGAGGAAUGAAACAGUUUUCUAUCCACAAUAUUUGUGAGGAUGUUUUAUACUCCUGUUUAAAGUUUAAGUUGCUGAUUACUUUUCAAAUAGGUAAUUUGGUGGUAAGUACUACAUUUAAAAAAUAUGUAUGCCCUUUACCCAUCAAUUCCAUUAUACUAAAACACCCUUAGUAAAUAAAGAUACAUGCACUUUAUUUUUCACAGCACUUAUUUUAAAAAGAACCCAUAGAAUGGAUCCUAUAAAUAAAUUUCAGUUGCAUCCAUAAGAUGGAAUAAUAUGUGACCAUUGAAGGUGGCAAUAGAUACAGAAGUAUAUUGAUGUGCGAAAAUGUAUUUUGUUAUAGCUAGUGAGGAAAAAAAUCAAUUAAAUUAUACAUACACACAAACAUACUAUGGUCUUGUUUUAGCAAAAAAUAUGUACAAAAUAUAAAAUUUGUAAUUUCUGAGCAUUUGUAUUUUAAGUAAAGUUCUUUUCCUUUUUCUUAUCUGUGAUUGCUGCAGUGAGCAUGUACAAAACUUCUAGUAAAGUUUAUUAAUAAAGGAAUAAUCCUCAGGAAGAGAGGAAUAUGAAUCUUACAUUAUUAAAAAUAAUUUCUCACUUUCUAUUUUUAUCAUUAUUGUGUGUAUUGUUAUCUUCUUUGAACUUUUAGCCUCUUCAGAAGUAAAAAGGGAAUGUUUUUAUCUGUUUCCAGAUUUUAUUACCUAUAUAUUUUAUUAUGUACAUAUGUUUUUCUUAUAUAUUCAUUCAAUUUAUGCAAACAAUGAUAGAUUAAUAAUUUCAUUUUAAUUGUAUUCUUUAAAAAUAAAAAUAAUAUAUAAAUACUAUUGCAAAAAUAUUGCUUUAUAGGAGUUUAUUUAAAAAUAUCGAUCUCCCCAACUGUAUUUAUCCAUUCUUUCAUUCCAUUUAUUCAUCAAACAUAACCUGAGUACCUGUUAUGUAGCAGACAUAUUCUACUAUCUCUCAGGACGCUUCUAUCCUUAAAAACUACAUGUUUACCUGCCCUGCCUGCACAAGCUGAGAGAUUUAAUAUAGGAAUAUUGGGACUUAAUCUCCUUGAAACUUUAUCUCCCACCUUUCAAACAAAAGCAUUUCUGAAGUUAGAAAAUAGUAGAAGAUAACCUUUAACUGCCCAUUCAAAAGUUUAUCAGUCUUAAAUACUAAUAUUAAUCAUUGGAAAGUCUUAUUUGCAUAUAUUCUGUAAGUAUAAAUAUUGAAUAAAAUGAGCCGUAUGUAUUCAUUUG